GGGGGCGGAUGGGCUCUGGUGGGCUUCGCGGACUUCAAAUCCGUUGGUGGGCGCCCUGCGGUGUCCACGGGGGGUUCGACUCCCUCCCGCUCCCGCCA
rnacentral:tRNA from 1 species